AGAACAUUCUCAUUAUUAUGGCAGUUGGAAGGAGUAUGUAUCAACAGAAGACAUAGGAUCUAUGCAUCCAAAACGAGAGCAAAGAACACAAUUUUUAUUAUCUUUGUAAAGACACUCCAAGCUUGAAUGGCAAAGCCACGGGACAGAUGGAGAGGAUGGAUCUGCAGCCUUCUGAUAUCUGCUGGAGUAUCAGGGCACCCAAAAACCCAAAGAAAAG